CCUACGGGAGGCAGCAGUGAGGAAUAUUGGUCAAUGGGCGGAAGCCUGAACCAGCCAAGUAGCGUGCAGGAUGACGGCCCUACGGGUUGUCAACUGCUUUUAUACGGGAAUAACGCGCCUUACGUGUAGGUCUUUGCAUGUACCGUAUGAAUAAGGACCGGCUAAUUCCGUGCCAGCAGCCGCGGUAAUACGGAAGGUCCGGGCGUUAUCCGGAUUUAUUGGGUUUAAAGGGAGCGUAGGCCGCAUGUCAAGCGUGCUUUGAAAUGUCCGGGCUCAACCCGGGCCUUGCAGCGCGAACUGGCGUGCUUGAGUCCGCGGAAAGCAGGCGGAAUUCGUCGUGUAGCGGUGAAAUGCUUAGAUAUGACGAAGAACCCCGAUUGCGAAGGCAGCUUGCUGCAGCGGAACUGACGCUGAUGCUCGAAAGCGCGGGUAUCGAACAGGAUUAGAUACCCGGGUGUC
rnacentral:rRNA from 1 species